rnacentral:sRNA from 1 species
GUUUAGCCCUGAUGGAAGUGAAAAUCCUUUUUCUUUUAUUAAAAGGAAAAGAUUGAAACGGACAGCAGGAGGGAUA